AUGGUGAGGCUCAGCGCUGACCUGAUAUGGCACUUCUUCAACGCCGUCAAGGAGCGCGAGCUCGACCUCCGAGGCAACAAGAUCGCCUUCAUCGAGAACAUCGGCGCCACCGAGGACAAGUUUGACAUGAUUGAUUUGUCGGACGAUGAGAUUGUCAAGCUUGAGAACUUCCCUUUCAUGAAUCGCCUUGGCACCCUGUUAAUCAAUAACAACAGAAUUACACGUAUCAAUCCCAACCUUGGUGAGUUUUUACACAAGAUGCAUACUUUGGUGCUGACGAACAAUCGCCUCACAAGUCUUGCGGAGAUUGACCCCCUGGCCUCUCUUCCAAAGCUGCAAUUUCUCAGCUUACUGGAUAAUACCGUAACUAAGCAACUAGAUUACCGGUUAUAUGUGAUCCACAAGCUGAAGCAUCUGCGUUUGCUGGACUUCAAGAUAGUGAAACAGCAGGAGAAAUGUGAAGCAGCACAAAAAUUCCACUCAAAGGAAACAGAGGAGGGGGCAAAGAGGGCUGCUACAAAAGCUUAUACUCUAGGACAGGUGGUGGAUUCUCAUGGUACUACGAAGGACCAGGGCGCUAAAGUAGUUGCUCCAACGCCUGCACAAAUCACAGCUAUCAAGUUUGAGGCACCCUAUGCUAUGUACUGGCAUACUCUUGUUUGUCACCGUGAUCAGGCGUUGAGCACUGGCCAAGUUCCUGCUCAAUUUGCGCUCCCCAAGCCUGACACCAACAUGGCCCAAGCGUCCGAGGAAGCUGAAGCUGAGAAGAUGGAGACAGACGGUCAGGACCAGGAGGAUGGGGCUGAUGAGCAGAAGCAAACUGAUGAAAGCGCCCUGAUUCAAGAGGCUGCUAUCGUGAACUCUCAGCCACUCGAUGAACUUACCAGGCUUGAAAAGGAAUUUCUGGGAGCUGAUUUGGACUGCAUAUAUGAUACCUUAAGCAACAUAGGAUCAUACAUAUACAAGAAUUUUGAGCGAGCCCCGUUCAAUUUCAUAGUGAGCUGGCGCAAAAGGUUUUUCCGUGGCUUGCAUAUUCUGCCGCCGCCCCGGAGGCAGGAACCAGGUAAGCCUUAUGCACUAACAAUGCUAUCAUGUUACUACCUGUAA
rnacentral:rRNA from 1 species